GAUGAACGCUGGCGGCGUGCUUAACACAUGCAAGUCGAACGGAAAGGCUCCUGCUUGCCGGGGUACUCGAGUGGCGAACGGGUGAGUAACACGUGGGUGAUCUGCCCUGCACUUCGGGAUAAGCCUGGGAAACUGGGUCUAAUACCGGAUAGGACGAUGGUUUGGAUGCCAUUGUGGAAAGUUUUUCGGUGUGGGAUGAGCUCGCGGCCUAUCAGCUCGUUGGUGGGGUAAUGGCCUACCAAGGCGUCGACGGGUAGCCGGCCUGAGAGGGUGUACGGCCACAUUGGGACUGAGAUACGGCCCAGACUCCUACGGGAGGCAGCAGUGGGGAAUAUUGCACAAUGGGCGCAAGCCUGAUGCAGCGACGCCGCGUGGGGGAUGACGGCCUUCGGGUUGUAAACUCCUUUCGCUAGGGACGAAGCGCAAGUGACGGUACCUGGAGAAGAAGCACCGGCUAACUACGUG
rnacentral:rRNA from 1 species